rnacentral:rRNA from 1 species
UGGGGAGUAUUGCACAAUGGAGGAAACUCUGAUGCAGCGAUGCCGCGUGAGGGAAGAAGGUUUUCGGAUUGUAAACCUCUGUGGAACGGGACGAUAAUGACGGUACCGUUCAAGGAAGCACGGCUAACUACGUGCCAGCAGCCGCGGUAAUACGUAGGUGGCGAGCGUUGUCCGGAAUUACUGGGUGUAAAGGGAGCGUAGGCGGGAGAGCAAGUCAGAAGUGAAAAUUAUGGGCUUAACCCAUAACCUGCUUUUGAAACUGUUUUUCUUGAGUGAGUCAGAGGCAAGCGGAAUUCCAAGUGUAGCGGUGAAAUGCGUAGAUAUUUGGAGGAACACCGGUGGCGAAGGCGGCUUGCUGGGCGUUUACUGACGCUGAGGCUCGAAAGCGUGGGAGCAAACAGGAUUAGAUACC